UGGGGAAUCUUGCACAAUGGGGGAAACCCUGAUGCAGCGACGCCGCGUGAACGAUGAAGCCCUUCGGGGUGUAAAGUUCUUUCGACAGGAACGAUAAUGACGGUACCUGGAGAAGAAGCUGCGGCUAACUACGUGCCAGCAGCCGCGGUAAUACGUAGGCAGCGAGCGUUGUUCGGAGUUACUGGGAGUAAAGAGUGCGUAGGCGGCGAGCCAAGUUUGGUGUGAAAUCUCCCGGCUUAACCGGGAGGGUGCGCCGAAAACUGGUUGGCUGGAGUAUGGGAGAGGAAAGCGGAAUUCCUUGUGUAGCGGUGAAAUGCGUAGAUAUCAGGAGGAACACCUGCGGUGUAGACAGCUUUCUGGACCAAAACUGACGCUGAGGCACGAAAGCGUGGGUAGCAAACA
rnacentral:rRNA from 1 species